UUGAUACAUCUUGGGCCGAGCUUAGGCUGUUGUCGGAAUCGACGAUCUCUAGGUUACGAAAAUAGCUUGCUUUUCGGAACCCGGCUUCCGCGUAAUGGCCCGAGCCCAUUUGGGUCGACGUGUGUUGGUCAUUGGCCCAGGAACUCACGACCUCGCCGCCCCAUUUGACCAUCGUGGCCCGGUCCGUUAGAUGGGUGAAUAGCUUGGUGGGGUGCUAUCACCAAAGCCCAUCCACCAAUUUCCCAAUUUGGGAUCCUAUUUUCAGACGACGUCGAUCUUCGCAACUUUUCUAUGCUCAGUUUGACAUGUUAGAGGGCACUGCAUCUCUGUCCAGCUUAUAGGAACCAUUGUUGCACCUGCACCAAGUUUAAAAUGCAUGAUCUAAGGCCAAAAAGAAAGAUGCUUAAAACAACACCGAGUUCAUUUUUUGCAGUCGACAAAUAAUAAGCUCGAGCAUCACCAAGGGAGAGAAACAUUAAGGAUAACAUAACAAUGAUGCCGAAUAAUAAAUUCAGUGAUUAUCAACUCAAUUGGCAAACUGAAUUUUAAACCAUUUCAAAGAUUGGGAUCGAGAAAAACAGAGAGUAACACGUGUAGAUUUGAUCCAACAAAGGUUUUGCAUAUAAAAGUGUCAUCAUUUAUUGAAAAAUAAAUAUGUUGGUCUGGUAUGGAGGAUACAACUAAAGCUUUGACUAUGUCGCCAGGACGGAAAGAGGAGUGCAUUUCUACUUUGUCAAUCUCCGUCGCUCUGACAUCUUGUUGCCUGUAGGGUUGUGCAUAUCGGUUUGGCCGGCCGACCGACCAAAAAAAUACAAACCGAUGGGCCGACGGUUUGGAGGAUUAAUGGGCCGAACCGACCAACGUUUGAAGACCAGCCGACCGAUCACCAAACCGUGGAAAUAAUCGGUUUUCGACCGACCGAGUAGAGCCGAGCCGAAUAGCUGAAUGAACUGGCGGCGGCGGCGCACUCGGAGAAGCAACGGUUGGAGGUGAGGCGGCGACGCGGCUCGCUCUAGUGUGGAGGUGAGGCGGCGGCGCAGAGGAAGGCUCACCGCUCUGGAACAGAGCACGUCUCGCCGGGAGGCUGGAGGCGUGGCUCGCUCUAGAAUGGAGUGCGUCUUGCCGGGAGGCUCGAGGCGCGGCGGUAAGGGAGGGCGGCUCGUCGGUCUGGAAUGGAGUGCGUCUUGCCGGAGGUGUCGCCGAUCUGAAAUGGGGCCUGGGGGUGGAGGGAGGGAAGUUUUGGUUUGGGUUAGGGGGAGGGGAGGCGCCGCAUAGAGUGAGAGAGAAGUGAGAUGAAGAUGAUUAUGAAUUUAUGGUUAGGAAAUUGGGGUGGGGAGGUGGGCGUAGCUUUAGGAAAGUAAAAAAAAAUAUUAUUAUAUAUAUUUAUCGGUCGGUUCGGUUUUCGACCGAUCAAAUUCGGGAAAAUCGAACCAGCCGAAAAAAUCGAGAUUUCUGUAAAAAAUCGGUCGAACCGACCGACCAUAGCAAAAAAACCGACCGAAAACCGAUCGGUUCGGCUUAUUUUUUUCAGUUUUUUCGGUCGGCUCGGUUUUUGCUCACCCCUAGUUGCCUGUCGCAUGUUCAAAAAUUAGUGACAAACACCCUUGGACUUCUUUCAAUGAUUCCAAGAUAAGGUACUCAUCAUCCAUAGCACUCAAAAUAAAAGCAACGCCGGUAAUUGGAAAGUAAAAAACCACAUUGAAGAUAUCAUGCAUUAACUGUGGUUUCAAUCACAAUUAGUCGAGAGAAAACGAACGAAUUUCGAACGAGCUUUUUUCGAGCCAAGCCCCGAAUAGUUCGCGAGCGGCUUGAUUAGUUUACACCCCUAAUAAAAUAACUUGAAGAAGACUUAUGGCAAAACGACUAAAAUGAGAAUGAACACUCACGUUCAAAUACAUUUACAAAACUCUAGAUAUUUGAACAAUAGGCACUCUCACUAACAAACACAAACUGGAUUCAAGAGCUAUACUUUGAAAUCCGACAAAACAAAUGAAUGCUAUAACAAAUGUUAUCCUAACACAAGAAACAACACUCGUACACACAUCACUUAAUUUCUAAGCUCAAUAUCUUCUCUCUAAGUUCGUAAUCUGAUAUGAGACUUCUCAUUGGUAUUUAUAAGCUUCCCAAUCUUGCUCUACAAGGCUGAAGUAAUGGGUUAGGUAUGGAAGGAGGAACAUCGGGAGGGUAUGAAGAAGUUGAAAGAGAUUUGUAAAAAUCUCCCGAAACUUUCAAUACCACAAGACGAGGAUGACUUAGUCCUCUACACUGACGCGAGUGAUUUCUGGUGGUCAGCUGUACUUACAAAGAUCACCCCUUAUGGAGAAGAACCUUGCAGAUACUGUAGCGGUCUUUUCUCCAACGACGAAGCUGUGCGAUGGCACAUUAACGAAAAGGAAUUCUUUGCAGUGCGAAAGGCGUUUAAAAAAUGGCCGUUUUUCUUACUUGCUAAAAAAUUCGUUUUGAAAGUAGAUAACACUAACGUGAAAGCUUUCUUAACAAAAAAGAUUGAAUCUAAACCUGAAAAGGCUAGAUUGCUUAGAUGGCAAGCAGAAUGCCAAUAUUAUGAUUAUGAUAUUGUCAUUUUGAAAUCUGAUCAGAAUGUUCUUGCAGAUUUCCUAACAAGGCAUGGAGCUCCCUGAGGUGGAGGCCAUCGAGGCAAAACAGGCGCAGCUCUUUGAAAGUUUAGAGUUGCUACAACAAGAAUGGCAAAAGUGUGUUCUACACACCAAACAAGCAGGGAAGAUACAAGCGGCUGAUGAAGCUCAAGUAUCUAACCAAAUUGAUACAUGUUUCAUGAAGAUGUUCAAUCUUCAAGAAGUAAUCAACAAGCCGCUCUUGCGCGUUAUCCGAGAUAAUCGGAUUAAAGCAAUGCUUUCCGUACAGGGCGGAUUACCUGUAGCAGGGGAUUCAAGUACCCCUAGCCCAAGUCCUGAGAAGAUGGCUUUACAGCCGGAUGCUCAAGGAGAAGAUGUUGUUAAGGGGUCACACCCUGAAUCAACAUGUCAACCCUCCACCUCUGGGGUAAAAGAGGAUGAGAUCAAUCUUAGGCCGAUGACAGGCCAAGUUAAGGUUGAUACUGAUUUUAUUGAAAUUUCUCCUUCUUGGCAGAUGUAUCAGGACAGAUGGGAGAAACUUCUCACAAGGAAGGGCAUUAAUCCGGGAAAUUGCCGGACUAUCUCCUAUUUUCUCUCCUUUUAUCUCCACUUUUCCCUUCUUUGUAGCAACAGCCGAGUCUCCCUCUCUACUCUUUGACUUGGUCGAAACCUGCAAAACAACUUAAGUGGAGAAAGACAAAACAAUGAUAACAAGAAGAGAGAUAUUUAUGGAGUUAGAAAAUCAACUCCAACAAACUCCCAUUUUUUGCCUUUCUUCACAAAACCAACAAAAAACAAGUAUACUCCCCCUUGCUGUGAUCUCCCCCUGCAUGAGUACCAAAUACCACAACAACCAAUACAACAAGUAAUAUCAAUCGACAAGUAUCACAACGUGCAAGGAUCACACCAACACAAGCACCACACAAAGAACUAAGGUCAAUACAAAAAACCAACGCACAUCAAUUCAACAACACAAGUUUAACUACCAAAGAACUAUAGAACCAUUAUUUUAGCAGCAUGCCCCAUCCACAAAAACUAAUUCAAACAAAACAGAAAUAAACUAAGAGUUUUGUGAGCUCAAAACGAAAGCUAAACAAACUCUAUCAAGCAAUCAUAGCCACAUGCUCCCCCCGCCUUCAUUCCUGGACUUGGUCUCAUGCUUCGUCCCCAGUUCCUUCAUCAUUGCCCUCAACAUCAUCUCCCCCUUUUUAGGAAGAAAGGAGAGCACGAAAAUCAUGCCUUAGUGCAGCAAUUGAUGUGGACGUGUCAGUAUAAUACUGCUUGCAAUUAAGCUCCACACUCUCCAGUCGUUUCGGACAAGAAUCAAUUAGAGUCAUUGGGACUGUGAUCGUGGCAUCUGUGGUGGCAGCCGAGACAAUAGCAUUCGGAUUUAUCCAAGGAAGGUCGACAAUUUUCCCCUCAUUGAAUAACAUAUUCCUUUAUAGACUCCAUCUUAUCCUCCGUCCUUGAGACCUUGGUGUUUGAGUACCUUGUACAUAAGAGAGUGAAAAAGUAAGGCAGAUAGUUGCGAUUUUGCAGCAAUUUGGUCAAAAAUGACCUGGCUCAAAUUGAAUGGCAAUCCCUCGCCAAUACAGUAGAGCAAUAUGCCGCGCUGCAGUGUGAUGACCGUAAAAUUGGAUGACACCACCCAAUUGAACGUCAUUAUCUUGAAUAAUGCCGAGUACAGAUAGGACAAGUUCGAAGAUUCCAUCGGCUUCAUCCACUUGCCUCCUGUGAUCACCUCUGCAACUUUGUCCAUGUCCUUUACCAAUGUGCCCUUCACAUUGGGCGUCUCAAGCAUUUCAUUGAUGAUGGCAGGGGUAAAGGUUAUAAACCUUAUUCUUGUAAAACAAUUUCCCAUACUUUCGAUUCCUUUUAUCCCCAAACUCCGUUGACAGAUUAGAAUAAACCAAUUGAACCACCCUUUUGUUAUAUGGCAUAAAUUCUGACACAGACUUUAACAAUCUACGAGAUUUAAGAAAAUCCAGCAAGUUGUAGUCGUUAAAAGAUACCUCAUCAAUGUUUCGCUCGCUGUACACGAGAGAAUUUUUGAGAUCCUUCCAGAGUUUGGCAGCCUCUGCUGUGUAGAAUGUAGGAGUGAGAGCUUUGCUAGUCUCCAUGUCUGACCCUUCGGGUUCGAGCUCAGCAACUUCUUCAUUCUCUGACUCAAUGUCAGAGUGCUGUGUGGGGGUAACAACAGGAGCAACAACCUUUGUUGUAGCAACUUUCUUUCCGUCAGAAAUCGUCUUUUGCUUGAUCUUUGUUACUACGUCAGUUACGGGUAAAUCUUCGUCGAAAACAGUCUUUUCAGGAUACUUCUCGGCAACCACCUCAGCCUCGGUCUCUUCAAUGAUGUCGUCCAGGGAUUGAGUAGGAAAGGACUCAACCUUUUCGUCCGAAAUAGGAUCUUCCUUUUCUUCGGGAGUGGAAGAUGAGGACUCUUCGUUCGCUGUGGUGGAGUCCACCAAAUGGCACUGUUUGAGAGUUCUUUUUCGGGCAUGCUUGGCUAGUGGCGACUCUGCUGAGACGAAAUCCUCAAUGACAUAAACAGUAGAUUCGAGUUUCAACUUCCUCAUGUGGUUCCGAUUUGAUCGGCGUGGAGCUUUGGGUUACCCCCACACAGCACUCUGACAGUGAGUCAGAGAAUGACGAAGUUGCUGAGCUUGAACCUGAAGGAUCAGACAUGGAAGCUAGCAAAGCUCUCACUCCUACAGUCUACACAGCAGAGGCUGCCAAACUCUGGAAGGAUCUAAAAAAUUCUCUCUUGUACAACAAGUGAAACAUUGAUCAGGUAUCUUUUAAAGACUACAACUUACUGGAUUUUCUUAAAUCUCCUAGAUUGUUAAAGUUUGUGUCAGGAGUUAUGCUAUAUAGCAAAAGGGUGGUUCCGUUGGUUUAUUCUAAUUUGUCAACGGAGUUUGGGAAUCCAAGGAAUCGAAAGUAUGGGAAAUUGUUUUACAAGAACAAGGUUUAUAACCUUACCCCUGCCAUCAUCAAUGAAAUGCUUGAGACGCCCAAUGUGAAGGGCAUAGUGGUGAAGGACAUGAACAAAGUUGCAGAGGUGAUCACAGGAGGCAAGUUGAAGAACUGGAUGAAGUCGAUUAAAUCUUCGAACUUGUCCUAUCUGCACUCGGCGUUAUUCAAGAUAAUGACGUUCAAUUGGGUGGUGUCAUCCAAUUCUACGGUCAUCACACUGCAGCACGACAUAUUGCUCUAUUGUAUUGGCGAGGGAUUGCCAUUCAAUUUGGGCCACGUCUUUUUUGACCAAAUUGCUGCUAAAUCGCAACUAUUUGCCUUGCCUUUUUCCUCUCUUGUCUACAGGGUACUCAAACACCAAAGUCUCAAGUACGGAGGAUCGGAGGAUAAGAUGGAGUCUAUACAGGAAUAUGUUAUCAAUAGCAUGUUAUUCAGUGAGGGGAAGACCGUCGACCUUCCUUGGAUAAAUAUGAAUGCUACUGUCUCUGCUGACUUAGAGAUCUUAGCCAAGCGCUGUACGGGCACAGUUGGUGUCUUAGCGUGCUAAGAGAAGAGCGAGAAAUCCAACCCAUGUGUUGGUACUGAAACGGUUUGAAAUGGUUUAUUUCAGUUGUUCGGUUUGCUGUGCACCCGUGAACAUAAGCCCAGAGUGAUUGUCAGAUUGAUCAUCUGACCAUGGACGUAGGAACUUGUUUUUUCGAACCACGUAAAAAUCCCUCGUGUUCUUUACUUGCUUUACAUUUUCAGUAUCUGUGCAUAUCUUUGUUUUAACUAAACUGUUAAUCAGAAAAGUGUAACUAAGGAAUUUUCUCCAUGUCAAAAUCUUUCAUAAGGCUAUUGCGAACUAAGUUUAAAUUUCCACUACUAGAGUUAUUUGUCUAACUGACCAAUGACCAAUCAAGUGAUAGUCAAUAAGAUCCGUAACUCUACUCUGUUUUACAAAUCGACUGAAACCAUAUCUGGACUGUUCAUUGACGAGUUCAAUCAAUUGAAGUCAUCUACUGAAUCAUUUAUCAGUAUCAGUCGCUACCCCUUUGUCAAUUGAAGCGUGCGUCAUCCAUCAGUCAAACUGUGUUUUAGUUUCUAUCAGAGGUGUUCGUGUGUUUUCGCGAAAAAUAGCCUACAGGUGUAUUUCCCCCCUCCCCCAUACACCUGUUCAGUAAACUCUCCGGGACCCAACAGUUUUGUUUGAAUUAGUUUUUGUGGAUGAGGCAUGUUUCUUAAACAAUGAUUCUAUAGUUCUUUGGUUGUUAAACUUGUGUUGCUGAAUUGAUGUGCGUUGGUUUUCUGUAUUGACCUUAGUUCUUUGUGUGGUGCUUGUGUUGGUGUGAUCCUUGCAGGUUGUGAUACUUGUCGAGUGAUAUUACUUGUUGUAUUGGUUGUUGUGGUAUUUGGUUCUCAUGCAGGGGGAGAUCACAACAAAGGGGAGUAUACUUGUUGUUUUUUGUUGGUUUUGUGAAGAAAGGCAAAAAGGGGGAGUUUGUUGGAGUUGAUUUUCUAACUCCAUAAAUAUCUCUCUUCUUGUUAUCAUUGUUUUGCUUUUCUCCACUUAAGUUGUUUUGCAGGAUUUUGACCAAGUCAAAGAGUAGAGAGGGAGACUCGACUGUUGCUACAAGGAAGGAAGAGUGGAGAGAAAAUAGGAGAUGGUUAUAGCUCCUACAUUCAAGGGAAGAAGUGGACAAGUGGAGUGUGUGCAACAAACUAUCCAACAGCCACUUAUCCACUACCUAACCCACGACUUCAGCCUUGGAGAGCAAGAUUGAGAAGCUUAUAAAUACCAAGGAGAAGUCUCAGAUCAGAUUACGAACUUAGAGAGAAGAUAUUGAGCUUAGAAAGUGAUUGUGUACGAGUGUUGUUUCUUGUGUUAGGAUAACAUUUGUUAUAGCAUUAUUUGUUUUGUCGGAUUUCGGAGUAUAGCUCUUGAAUCCAGUUUGCGUUCAUUCUCAUUUUAGUCAUUUUAUCAUAAGGCUUCUUCAUGUUAUUUUAUAACUUGAAGAAAAUUUUCCAAUUCUUGUGUUCAUCUUAUUUCCGCUGCAUUUUCUACUCUGUGCACUUGUGUGUUGCCUCAACACAGUGCGUUUCUUUUGAUUUCUUGCGGAGCAACACUUUCACAGCCCAUAAACUCGAGGAAGGCAUAUAGAAUAGAACCAUGCAAAAUCCAACUUCCCUACCAUAUCUCACAAAAUUGCCAUCUAAAUCUCCACCAGAUUCCCCUUAAAAACUCAAAUUCCGAAAAACAAGUUAUUGUGCACUAGGCAUCCUAAUCAUUUCAGCAGUAUUGACAUAAGUCAUAAGCAAAAACAAAUAAACUCAAAUUCAACUGAUAGAUCAACAAAUGAGCCGAGCUAAAAUGCGCAACUCGAAAGUAAGCUUCACAAUAUUUGGCUCGUUAGCUUGUAAAAUAUAAGACUAUCAACUAGAUAAUAGUAUGCAUAUUACAUUUUUAGGAGAAAUAAUUCAAUUUUGAAGGAAUACAAAGUUGAUUCUAUUUGAAGAGGCUACUAAGGGGGUGUUUGUCUGAGCUUAUAAGCUCUUUAAAACAACUUAUAAGCUUUUGAGAAGUGUUGGGCAAAAUAAGCUCUUAUAAACCGCUUAUAUAUUACUCCCUCCGUCCACUAAUUGUUGGCCUACUUGCCUUUUUGGUCCGUCCACCAAUUUAUGUCCUAUCUAUUUUGGGUAAGUUUAUAUUCAUAUUUUAAUCAAAAUUAUGGGUCUCUUUAAUAAAAUGUGGCCUAAUUGCAUUGACUUUAGUAAAUUGUGGGUCCCUUUCUCCACUCAACUAUAAAAUAUUUCUUAAAAUCCUGUUUUGCUUCUAGGCAAAAUUAUACGGAGGGAGUAUAAAAAUAAGCUCCAACAACGUAUAUAAGCUCUCAAAAAUUAAGUUCCUCAACCCCAAAUUAUUUUAAAUAUCCUUAUAAGCAACAACCAUUUUACAAAAUAAUCCUACAAUGAUUUUUUAUUUUUCCAGCAUAUAUCCUUUCAAUUUCAUCUCUCUAACCCCAUUCUAUUUCUAGAUUCUAUUUCUAGAGAUCAAUUAUUUAAACACUUUGACAACUUAUAAGCUCUUGAGAUAUUACACAUUACUUCUUAUGAGCCCUUGAAACAUAUUAUAAGCUCUCUAAAUAAGCUUAACCAAACACCCCUAAGACUUCAAAAUGUAAGCUAAAUUAAGCUCUAAGUCAGCUCAUAAACAAACCAAAAUCAGUCUUUCUAAUAUUUGACUAAACUUCCACAACUAAAACAAAUUAAAAAAUCAGCAGAUUGAAAAAUCUUACUCUUGCAGUAACGACAACUCCGGGCUCCGGCACCGGACCGUGUGCCUUGUGACCCUUCACCUCCACCGUCGCCUUCUUACAAACAACAAUCCACAAAUAAAUUCCCCCAAAAAAAAAUUGAAUAUUCAAUCCAAUAAAAAAUUAUGGCAUUUGAUUACCGAAUCGUCGGAGUCGGGAGGGGCAGGAGUGAGAGAGCGGAAUCCAGUGAGAGAGGCGUAUAUGGCUUUAUCGUGGGACGAGAAGUAAGCGCCGUAGCCAGGUUUCAACUCUAGAGCUUUCCCCAGCAUAUCACCCGGCGUCACGAAAUUCUCUUCUUCUCUCUCCUUCAUUGUGUUCUUUUCCUUAAGAGUUAGAGAGAGAGAGACGGAAUUCCUCUUUGCAGGUGGCGCAUACGGAGAAGAGCUCAGAGAAGCAGCAGAUUUGCCGCUCUUUGCUUUCUGUAUUCGUUUGUUUUGUUUGGGCUUUUCUUUAAGGGUUUGUUAGAAAUUUCUUUAAGAGGAAUUUGGGCCAGAUUUUGUUAAGGUGGCCCUCAUAGAUAUAUUUUUUUCGAGUGAUUAUAAAUGCGGUGUGUUUGCUUUUUAUCCAUUUAAAUAGAGGGAUAAUAAAAAUUUAUAUUUUAAAUGUUUGUUUUUUUAUUUUAUAUUUUACACAAACAUUAUUUUUUCUUCUUUAUUUUCACUUCAAAGAGGGAUAAUAUUAUCACACCAAAAAUGGUCCUUGAAGUGAAAAUAAGGAAGGAAAAAUGGUAUUUGUAUAAAAUAUGGGAUAAAAAACAAACAUUUAAAGGCAUAAAUUUUUGUUAUCCCUCCAUUUAGAGGGAUAAAAAGCAAACACACUAUAUUUUAUAUUUUGCAACCUUUCACCAUUCUCAAUACUAAUUACAACACAUUUUCACCACUUUCAUUUAACAACUUUUCUUUAAAACCUAUACCGUUCUCUACUAGAAAAUUAUUUGGGGGAUGAAUGGAGUAUGUUGCUUCUGGAUGGUUGACAUUUCAUUAGCUUUUUUCCACUUUGAGCAGUGAGAUUUAAUAUAUCCUUGGAUUUGACAGAAACUACACCUAGACUUCGACUUUUUAGGGUGUGUAAAAUUUUCAUUGGACAAUAAUGGAUAAAAAAAGUGAGAAAAUAUUACUCCCUCCGUCCGCGAUAUCAUUUCCACAUUGUGGAUGACGCGUGUUUUAAGAAAAGUGGUGGAUAGUAGUGGAUAUGUAGUGAGUGGAGUUUGGAUCCCACUAUUAUUGUGAGUGGAAGUUUGUGGACCCUACUUCUAUAAAUGGAAGUGGAAACGAUAUCGCGGACGGAUCAAACGAUAUCGCGGACGGAGGGAGUAUUAUUUUCUUCUUUUUUUUGUCACAUAUUUACUAGAUAUGAAAAGAUGAGAAAAUGUUGGAAUAUAUUUUCACACUCUUUCCCUAUGAUAAUAUUGUCCAACGUUUGAGAGAAAAUGAGUGAAAAGAAGCUGUCCGAGAAAAUAUUCCAUCCAGUCCGAAGAAAAUUUUCCAUCAUAAUAAACAUGUGAAAAUAAUGAAAAAUGAGUGAGAACAUACUUUUUCUCUCAUUUUCCAUCAAACUAAAUGCACCCUGAUGGAAAAUGAGAGAAAAUGGAGUAUAUAUUUUCACUAUUUUUUCAUCAUUUUUCACAUGUUAACUAUGAUAUAAAAUUUUUCUCUGAAUACGGUAUAAUAUUUUCUCACGUUCCUUAUUUUCACUUGUUGGGUCCCAGGGUGCUACUGAACUGGUGUAUGGGGAGGGGAAAUAUACCAGUAAGCUAUUUUUACUUUUGAAAUCUGGAAUCAGUUUCUAAUUGAAACUGAAGUGUAGUGAAAGAAUAAGAUCAGUUAAAGAGCGGGUAAAGACUGAUACUGAUAAUGAGUUAGUAAAGGUAACUUCAGUAUUUGAGACUGGUCAAUAUACUAAAGUUCAGAUAGGGUUUCAGUCUUAUCAGUUUUCGAAAUUAGAGAAGUGUAAGUAAUCUUACUGACUAUCCGAAGAUUUAUCAGUUAGACUAUUACACUUGCGCUGAAGCGAUUUAAUGUAAAAACCUUAAGUGAAUCGGAUUAUCAAUUUUAAUGGUCUAUCAUUUAAGUUAUCACUUUUUAUUUUCAGUAGGGUUAGUGCACGAAUACGAAAUAGUAAAACUAAAAGCAAUAAAAAACACAAGGAACUUUUACGUGGUUCGGAAAACAAGUCCACAGUUAGUUGAUCAAACUGACAAUCUCUCCGCUUGUGCUUACGGGUGCACAGCAAACCUAGCUUGUGCUUGCGGGUGCACAACAAACCGUGAACUGAAAAGAACUCUUUUCAGUACCAACACACUGAGUUGGAUUUCACCUUCUUAGCUUGCAGGUGCUAAGAAACCGUCUGUCUAGUUUACGAGUACUAAACAACCUAGAGUUCAGACAACUGUCUCGAACUCACUCUCAAGCUCUCUUUUCGCUCUUUUGAAAGGGGGUUCGAAUUACCAACUAGAUUACUGAGAAUAGACUCUCAGUAAUCAGAGCUUAGGCUUAGGGUUUACAAGAAAUUUGCCUAAGGAAAUAAGAGAAUGUAAGUAAUAAGUGAACUAAUUGUUGAGCUUUGGGUAUUCUCUUCUUUGAUUCAAACUUUGGAAUGCAAUGAGUUUGCUGAGUUGCGAUUUUGGCAGAGGUUCAGCUUAUGCGUUUGAAUUGGUGAAGAUUGAAGUUGAUCCUUGAGCUCUAUUUAUAGGUAGCGUCUUGAAUAGAUCCGUUGGAGGAGAUUGAUCUUUAGAAAUUUGCCAUUGUGAGACAAAAUUUGAAUCUGGGCUCAGGCUUCGAGCUUCGUUACUCCUAAUCCGAAAAGAUUUGUGUCCUUGCGUCCGUGGGAGUAUGGUGCUCCAGGCGUAUGUAGCACAAAAGAAAAAAACUUUUGUCUUUAGGAGGACGAUCUUUAUAUCUUGGCAUUUAAUGCGGUUGUACUUGUUUACUUUCCAUGUGGCUUCCUUAAAUUGGAGUUUCUGUCCGUGACAAUGAGAAUAACUCUGAGGAUUCCACUGAUAAUUGGCUUUAGUAUCAGUCCGCUAAUUCCAUCGUGGCAUGUAUUAGUAUUUUCCUAAUACUGACUGUUAACCUUAUUUUGUAAUGAGUUUUUAUGGGUGUUUAGAUGUGAUGUUGGUUUAUAUAUUGGUCUCGUUCACUCAAGAGUUAAUUAAUUUGAGCUUUUGUGCUAAUUUUGUUGGCUCAUGAUUUUUUGCUCAAAUUGAUUAAUCAAUGGAUGAAAAUAAAGUCAAAAUUGAGUUGAAUGAUCUGAAGAAGAAUUAAAGCUUGUCUCGAUAUGAAUUCGUGGACGAAAACGAAUUUAAAAUCAAACUUAUAACGAAGAGGAAUAGACAAAAACAAAAACAUCCCACCCCUUUUACAUUUAGUCUCGCCAGAAGAUUUAUGAAAGAUGGAAAUAAAGUCUGGUAUUGUAGCUUUUUGCUUUCUCUCCAUAUAUAUAUAUAUAUAUAUAUAUAUAUAUAGUUAUUNNNNNNNNNNNNNNNNNNNNNNNNNNNNNNNNNNNNNNNNNNNNNNNNNNNNNNNNNNNNNNNNNNNNNNNNNNNNNNNNNNNNNNNNNNNNNNNNNNNNNNNNNNNNNNNNNNNNNNNNNNNNNNNNNNNNNNNNNNNNNNNNNNNNNNNNNNNNNNNNNNNNNNNNNNNNNNNNNNNNNNNNNNNNNNNNNNNNNNNNNNNNNNNNNNNNNNNNNAUAACCCAAUUUUUAUUCUCACUUCAUUCUCAACACUUGAAAGAAUUAAACUUUUAGGGAAAUAUUCUAUAGGAAACGUAAACCUAAAAUUUCUAUCUAGAAAUUAAAGCAACUUAAUAUGAAAUUAAACUCAGUUUGGUCAUCAAUAAAAGCCAUUAAACUCCUUGUUAAUUGAUAUGACAAUUCAGACUAGAUCGAGAAAUAAUCACAUCAGAUAAGAGAAUAACCACUAUGUUUUUUUUUAUUAGAGACAUUGAAUUAUUCAGUCCAAGAUGUGAACACAAGUUCUAUAAACUAUAUAUAUGGAGAGAAAGCAGAAAAGCUUCAAUUCUCAAAAAAGGCUACAAUACCAGACUUUAUUUCCAUCUUUCAUAAAUCUUCUGGCGAGACUAAACUUUCAACAUAGACAUGAGUUGAACGGUAAUCGCAACAAACCUUGGGACAACGGAACACAUUAUCAUGGCGAUCAAAAACCAACAAAGUGGAUACACAAUUUACCAAAAUCUCACCGUUUGGACCCUCCACCAAUGGUGCUGGUUGAAGAAGCUCAAGAAGAUGAGAAAGAGUCACCACUUUCUCCCAAGACUCCUUCAUAACCCAAACUUGAACGACUGUUCCACAAUAAUAAUGAUUAAAAUGUAGCGCGCAAAGGCAACCACCAAGCACACCCAAUAACUUUUGAGCGCGAUACUCUUGAUCAAUGGGAAGCUCAGUCCUUCCAAACACCUCACUCUUCAAGUCUAAAAAAAUAAUAACUUCUUUAUAUCCUUUAUAAUUCGUCCAGUAAAGCUUCCCACCUGCAAACACACCCUCUUCGCAACGAUAUGUACAUAAAUCCUUGCAGUGCUCUAUUGUUUUCCAUGAUUUUGUCUUUGAACUAUAAAGUUUACCGGCCCGCUUCAACUGGUAAUUAUCAAGCACACUCACAAACACCUUGUACUCACCACUCGAUUCAACCCAACCGAAUCCAAAAUCACCAACAGAUCCGACAUUAGAAAUUUCUGGCAGUUUCUUGGAGAUUCCUGUGGAUGGAUUCCACAAGUGAAUUUCACUUGGUUUUUCGAGAAUGCAGAGCAGCCCAUUAUAGCACCCCACAAUUAGAAAUCGCAUCAAUAAUGUACCAAUAUUCGUUGGAGCAGCUAAAGGAGAUAAAGAGGUAGGAUUUGCUGGCUCACUCAUAACCGACAGCAGAGAACAUUGCACAGGCCAAUCAUUAAAAUAAUCAAACACAUAGUUCUUUAAAAUGACCCUUUGUUGGGGGAAAGAUGGGUUUUUAAUUGAAUUUUGAUGAUGGGUUUUGAUGAAACGUUCGCUAUCAAUUAAAGAGCCCCAUGAUUUCGAAACGCACCUGAACUUCAAAAGUGAAUUCACCGCAAGUCUGGAUAGUAUUUCUUCAAUGGUUUCUUCAGGAAGAUGGAGAGAUUUUCGACUACUUUUUCUGAUAUCCAUACCCAAGCUUCGAUAUAUUUUUUUAGGGAUUUAGGUUUUUGUAUUUGAAGUGGCGAGGGUUUUGGUUUUUGUAUUUAUUUCGAGCUAGGUUUCAGAAUUAGAGAGUGAUUCGGUUUGUUUGUUAAUUACUAAUUAGGGUUUACUAAUAUUCAAUUAAUUUUUGUAAUAACAUUAAUUUUUUUCAGUAUUUAACUUUUAAUUAAUUAUUGGUCACAAUUUCUUUUUAUUAGUAAUUUAUUAUUGGGACUAGUUAUUCCGUAAUUAAGGUAGGUUUUAUGUUGUUGCGAAACUCUACAAUUUAUUUCUAUUUAAAUUCUAUUUUUUAGUUUGGAAUUUGUAGUUGUAUAUUUAGACAUUUCCAUCUUGUAGGACGUGAACCUAGGGAUGACAAUGGAUUCUGGAUUCGGCUCAGAUCCGUGAAUUUAGAUUUUUUUUUUAGGAUCUAGACCUUAUAAAAGAUGGACUCGUUGGAUCUGGAUCGAAUUUGGGUUAUUCCUAUAAUUUCCGAAUCUGGAUCUGGAGCAAAAGAUUUUUGGAAAAGUCUUAGACACCUUCAUAAAAAAUCAAUUUUCAAGAGGGAAAAGAUUUUUGGACACCAGGUGUCUUAAACACCUUCAUAAAAAAUCAGUUUUUUCUUGAUGUUUAAUUUGAUCGAUUUUUUGCUAUUUAGUGAUUUGUCUAAAAUACUAUUUUCAAAAAUAUAUUCAAUCGAUUUUGUUAUUAUUUUUUAUUUUUAUAUUUUUUUUCCAAGUUCACUAAUUUUUUAUAUAAAAAUUGAAAAUAAUAACAAAAUCAGUUGAUAUCACUACAAGAAAACUGGUCGAACACUGACGGAUAUCACCGACGGACUAUUUUCCGUCGGUAGAUACCGACGGAUCACCGACUGACCGUCAUCCAGCAACAUCGCCGGAGUCGGCAUCUAUUUUCGAUGAAAAUACCGACGGAUUACCGACGGAAUCUCUACCGACGAACAAUAUCCGUCGGUAAAUUCGGUAUUUUCGAUUUUAAUAAUUAUUUUUAUUUUUUACCGACGGAAUAUCUACCGACGGAUUAAACUCCGUCGGAAAAUUGGGUAAUUUCGAAUUAAAUAAUUAUUUUUAUGUUUUGCCGACGGAUUACCGACGGAAUAUUCCGUCGGUAAUUUCAAUAUAUAUUAUUAUUUGUAUUUUUAUUUGUUUUUUUAUUUUUUUUAUUUAUUUUUAAAAUUAGUACCGACGGAUAAAGUCCGUCGGUAAAUUGUUUUUUUAUUAUUUUAUUAUUUUUAUUUUUUAUUAUUAUUUUUAUUUAUUUUUUUAUUUUAAAUUAUUUUUAAUUAAUUUUCUAUAUUAUUAUUAUUUUAAAAUUAUUGAAAAUAUUUUAAAAUUGAUAGUUAUUUUUAGCAAUAAUAUUUUCUCUUUUUAAUAAACGAUAAUAUUAAUUUUUUUUAUUAUCUUAAAUUCGAUCAUAUAUUUACCUUGAUUCUUUCGUCGGCACCACAAGUCUUAAAUAUCAUCUCGACAUAUUCUAAGGUUAUGAAUAAAUGAUAUUGUAUAUUGAAAUAGAGUUUAAAUGAAUUAAUAGGUGCUAGUUAUAUCAAUAAUACGAAUGCUCUCUACUGGCGAUCACUCGAAAGAAACUUCAAGGAUAAUACGCGUGUUCUCUACUGGCGAUCACUCGAAAGAAACUUCAAGGUUAAGCGUGCUUGACUCAGAGCACUAGUAAGAUGGGUGACUCACUGGGAAGUUGGCCAAAUCAUAUGCAAUUAAGUUCAAAAUACAUUAGAAAUACGAAAUACUUGUACGAAGAUAGGUUGAUAAAAAAAAAUGAAAAUUAAUAAUUAAAAUUAAUAAUUAAUUUACAUAUGGAAUUUUCCGUCGGUAAUCCGUCGGUAAACGCGCCACCUACCACGGCCAACGCCGGCGUCGGAGACUUACCGACGGCGAUGUCCGUCGGUAAUCCGUCAGUACCCACCGACCGACAGAAAAAAUCCGUCGGUAAAUCAUUUACCGACGAGCGUUUCAACGACGGGUGAAAUCCGUCGGUAUCUCCAUUUACCGACGGAAUUUUGAUGCUUACCGACGGAAUAUUCCGUCGGUGUUCGGCCAGAUUCUGGUUGUGUAUAUUUUUGGAAAUGAUAUUUUAGACAAAUCACUAAAUAACAAAAAAUCAGUCAAAUUAAAUAUUAAGCAAAAAUCGAUUUUUUAUGAAGGUGUCUAAGACACCUAGUAUCCAAAAAUCACUCCCCUUUUUAAAAAGACGUCUAUUGGAUUUGAUGCACAAAAUCUCUUGUACACUCGAGUGUACCAUACAUCCGGGUUGUACCCUGCCCAGAUUCUUAUAUCCACAACCUGCUUAAAAAAAAAAAGAAUCACUAAAACUCUACGGUCUCUGCCCCUUCUUUCGGCUGAAUCAUUAAAAAGUUAUGGGCGGCCAUGACCACAGCAGCAUUGCUGCCUUCUGUGUCUCUCUCUCCCGGUCGAGCGACAGCACGCUACAGUACCACCGCCAUCGCCGCCAGCCCUUCUACUUGACCGACGAGUAGCGGCAGCCCCAAUUAAGCAGUCGGCUUCGCCCCUUGUCCCUCGUUACUCCCUCGACCGACAGGAUAUGGUCCAUAUGGAAACGUGUUUUCCGGCAGCUGGGAUGCUUCUGUGUCUGAACGAGAGUGUGAAAGGGUUGGAGACGACAAAGCUGCUGUCGAUUAAAGCAACUGACAUUUUUGUUAAGCACUUCAGUAUUAUUAGUGUUCUUUGUAGAACAUGAAAGUGUUCUUUAUAAUAGUAUUAGUGUCAUUUCCAUAUAGUAUCAUUUGUAGAACAUAAUAGUAUUUUUUUUUAAUUUGAUAAUAGUGUUAUUUAUAUAAAACGAUAGUGUCAUUUCCAUAUAAUGUCAUUUGUAAAACAAUCUAGUGUCAUUUAUGUAACAUGAUAGUGUCAUUUCCAUAAUUCACGGGCGUCCUAUGCGGUGCAGAAUUUCUAGUCUUAUAUAUGCGCCAUAUCGUAGAAAGUAAAUAGAACUAGAGCACAAUUAUCAAAUAUUGCUAGUUGAUAUUGCCUUACUUUACUUAACCGAAUUCCGAUCUUAAUCGUGACAUAAUUUUUUUCUUGGGAUAAAUGAGGUUAAUAUGAACUAAAAAGAAAUACACUCAUAAGAAUUCUUUUUCUUCAUCAAUCUAAAAAAGUAUCAGCUGCCAAAGUAAACUGCCCAAUGAAAUAUAUAAGAAAUUAAAGACUAAAGAUUCUUUCGAAUAUUUUCUUCCUACCAAGCCUAUUACUUCAAACUAUUCUGAUAGAAUUUUAUUCAUCUUUUUAUGAAGAGAGUAACCUGCAAUCAAAUCGCUCGGCACAGAUUCUUGUCGGGGACAGGAGAGACUAAACUUUCGAUGUAGAGAUGCGUUUGCAAGGAAUCUCUAAUUUUCUUCAUCUGCGAAUGCACAUCAUCUCGUGCUUGAUCGUAGAGCUUAAAAUUCGACCCACGAACUAGCCGAAUCUCCGCCUCGUCGACUGCGCAAAAUGGGGCUACGGAUGGAAGAACUUCACAAGGCUCAUAAACAACACCAUCCCUCACUUUCACCCAACAAUUCUGCUUCAUUACCCACACAUCAAAGUAUGUUCUCUUCUUUUCUAAUAUCAUGGUAAGGCGACCCUCGUUCACGCCCAAGCGCACUGAUUUUGCGCCACGUGGAAGCUUCAUCACUCCAAGCUCCUCCUUCUUCAAAUCAAAUGUAGCAAUUUCAUAAUUAUCAGUCUCAUCUGUAUUCUUAAUGUGAAGCCAAUGAAGCUUUCCACUCACAAAAUGCGCCUUACUAUGUAUCAAACCGAUAUCAAAAAACUCGACUGUUUUCCAUGAAUUUGUGUUUGAACUAUAAACUCUACCCAUAAACUUUCUACUGCUAAGCAAAACCACAAACACCUUGUAUGCACCGCUCGAUUCAUCCCAACCGAAUCCGGAUAUGGACGAGGGCCAGUCUCCAUUCUCUAAUACCAAUUGUGGUAAUUCCAUGGAGAUUCUGGUGGCAGGAUUCCAUAAUAAGAAACGCCCUCUCCUGAGAUCAAUGCAGCAGCAGACCAGCCCAUUACAGCACCCCACUAUUAAUGACGGGCCCAUAUUAAUGAGCCUGUGAUGGGAAAAAGCAGUGUUUCUGGAUGCAUUUUGGAGGUGGGUUUUGAUGAAUCGUUUGCUGUCAAUCAAAGAGCGCCAUGACCUCGAAACGCACCUGAAUCUCAGGAGAGAUUUCACCGCAAGUCUUGACAGUAUUUCUUCGGUGAGUUCUUGGGGGAGAUGGAGAUAUCGGCGAGUGUUUGGGGUCUCCAUAGCUGGCGGCGGCAGUGGCUUUCGAGGGUUCGAGGUAUUUAAGAUAAAAGGGUUUUGGUUGCAGAGUUAUAAUUGGAAUAGAGUUUUACUAUUUCACAAGGGUUAGAUAUUGUCAACCAUUAUUUCAAUGUAAAUCCAUAUUUUACUAGUUUAAUACUCAUAUUUAUUAUAUAAAAUAUAAAAUUUCUAAUUAGAUACUCCCUCCGUCCCAUUAUUCAUGGCUCGUAUUCCUUUUUGGGCCGUCCCAAGCUACUUGGCUCGUUUCCUUUUUGGGACAUAAUUAAGGAACUAUUAACAACUUAAUUAAGGCAACUAUAUAAGGCAAAAUUAGAAACCCUAAAUCUACAUCUUUCCUCCUCCAAUUCCUUCCGCCGCUCUCUCUCUCUCUAUCUACUCAUAUGCGCCGCCUCCACCAUCCUCCACCACCCUCAAGCCUCUCGCCUCCUCCACCGUCUCCACCACCCUCCUGCGCCCUCCAUCAUCCUCGGACCUCUCGCCUCCGCCGCCUCCACCAUUCUCCUGUGCGCUCCACCGCCUCCACCAUCCUCCUGCGCGCCUCCACCACCCUCAACCCUCCCGUCUCCUGCGCCGCUACCACCAUCCUCCUGCGCGCUCCACCGCCUCCACCACCCUUCUGCGCGCCUCCACCACCCUCAGGCCUCUCACCUCCUGCGCCGCCUCCACCACCCUCCUGCCUCGUGCCUCGAACACCCUCCACCGCCUCGCGUCUCCACCACCCUCCCACGCCGCCUCCACUGCAAAACCCUAAGAUUUCUUUUUGUAGAGGUUCCACCGCCUCCACCCUCCACUACCUCUAUCCAAACAGAUUUCUGAUUUUGGUUGUUUUGAUUUUGAAAUUUUAAUUUUUGAUUUUUGUUGAUUUUGAAGUUUUGAGUGUUGAUUUUUGCUGUUGUUGUUGGCUCUGUUGCUGUUAAUCGGAGCAUUUUUGGGGGAAAAUGGUGUUGUUGGCUCUGUUGCAGAUUUUGGGGGAAAAUGGUGGUGUUGUAGAUGGUGGUUGUAACCUCGCCGGUGUUAAGAGUGGCGGCGCCGGCACCGGAUUUUGGGGGGGAAAUGGCGGUAUUGUAGAUACUGUGUACUUGAUUAACAACUACUAAAAUCAAUUUAAGAUAACACUAAUUAUAUGACUCACACCUUAUUUCCCUUAAUUUUUGUCUCCUAAAUACCCGUGCCGAAAAGUUUUGAGCCAUGAUUAACGGGACGGAGGGAGUAAUAAUUUAUAACUAAAAGAUAAACUAUAAAUCACUGUUUUAUCAACUACAUCUCAUGGUCUAAUUCCCCCCAACCCAAAAAAAAAAAAGAGUCAGUCUUGGGUCAGGCGGGUCUGACCAUCAGACCGGGUGGGGGCGCGGGUCGGGUGCGGGCUUGGGCAUGGGCUGGGCUGGGCGCAUAUAUAAAGUAAUCAUUGUUAUGAAGAAAAGUAGUAAUCAAUCUGAACAAAUGUAAUGUUUCAAAUUAUUGCAUUUCUUCAUAUGAAUAAUUACUUUUUUUCUAUUUUUUCAUUUAUUUCUGUUUUUUUAAAUAUUACAUUUAUUCAUAUAAAUGAUUAUUUUUUCUCUAAUUAAAUAAUGAAUACUAAACCUUAAUGGAAAUAUUUACUUUUAUGUAUCCUAAGAUAUACAUUUGUAUGCACAAAUGUAUACUUAUGUCAAUAUAAAUAUUUCCUAUCAUUCAAUAUUUUUCUACAACCUAAAUCCUGAAUACUAAACCCUAAAUAAUCAAUACUAAACCCUAAACAUUGAAUACUAAACCCUAAACUUUGAAUAUUAAACCCUAAAUAAUGAAUACUAAACCCUAAUGGGAAUAUUAAACCCUAAAUAAUGAAUAUUAAACCCUAAACCUUGAAUAUUAAACCCUAAAUAUACAUUUAUUUGAUCAAAUAACGAAAAGUACAAAUUCUAAUGAAUAAAAGUAACAAUUAUCGUGAACAAAUGUAAUAAUUUAAAAACAUUACAUUUCUUCAUAAUAAUAAUACUUUUUAUUAUAACAUUAGUUACUUUUUAGGAUUUAGGUGGGGAGGGAGGGCUUCCGGGUUCGGGCACGGGUCGGACGGCGGGUCAGACCCGGUCUGACCGUCAGACCCGCCUGACCCAAGAAUUUGCGGAAAAAAAAAAACAUCUCAUUAUCAUGAUUAAAUGACCUGAGAUUGCUCAAGAUUGAAUUAGUUCGAAAUUGAUUUUAUUAAAAGGGAUACCAAGACUUAUAAGGCCAGACUAAUUAUAUAAGCGACAUUCUUUCGAGUCUAAGAGGUGUUUGGUCGAGUUUAUAAGCUUUUUAAAACAGUUUAUAAGGCCUUCAAAUUGUUUGACAAAAUAAGCUUCUAAACAACUUUAGUUGUAAAAAUAAGUUUCAACAACUUAUAAAUUCUCAAAAGCAUAAAUUUCUAUAUCCUAACAUAUUUUUUCAUAAUAUUAUACUCCCUUCGUCCACAAUAUCGUUUCCACUUUGUGGACGACACGAGUUUUAAGAAAGUAGCGAAUAGUAUGUUGAUAGUAGUGAAUAUUAUUGUGAGUGGAGCUUGGAUCUCACUAUUGUUGCAGUGGAGUUUGUGGACCUUACUAUUAUAAAUGGGAGUGGAAAUGAUAUUGUGGACAGACCAAAAUAGUAAAAGUGGAAACGAUAUUGUGGACAGAAGGAGUAUGCAAUAAUCAGUUUACAAAAACUAUACAACUAUGAUUUGUUACCCUACUAAGUUCAUCUCUCUUCGAUUUUCUCUCUAAUAAGGAUUUUUUCUAUUUAGUUUAUAAGCUCAAUUAUCCAAACAUUUAGACAACUUAUAAGCUAAUGAGAAACUACAUAUUAUAAAGGGUUAUUAGCGCCUAAAUACACCAAUUUUGGGAGUAGUUUGGUUUUGUACAUGAACUUUGAAAGGUGUAAAAAAAAUACAUGAACUUUAAUAUUGUAGCAAUUUUAUCAAAAAUUCAAUUUCUAGAUGUUCAAACUCUAUAAAAAUUCUACGUACGAUUUAGAGGUUUAGAGAUAUCUUAUACAAUAUCCUUCAGAGAUGUCUUAUACGAUGCUAUUUUUUAAAACGUCCAAUGAGUAAACGUCGAUAUUUUGACUUGCCACACAUAAGCUUUAAUUUGUGUAAAAAUUGAAUUUGUGGCAAAAUUACUACAACAAUAAAGUUCAUGUAUUUUCUUACACCUUUCAAAGUUCAUGUGCAAAACCAAAUUAUCCCCAAAGUUGGUGUAUUUAUUUUAGAAGCUAAUAAUCCUAUUAUAAAUUCUUCAAAUAUUUUAUAAGAUAUUGGAGCUUAUAAGCUUAGCCAAACAACGCAUUAUAAAAUUAAGUUUUGUCUAUAAAACUAAAUCUUGUCUAAUCCAUCAAACUAAAAACAAACCCCCCAUAUAAAAUAGUAGGGCAUGUUAGUCUUGCCAACAAAUGAACUUAUCCGAAAGUAGAAACCGAUCACACCAAGUAAAGAAAUACAAAACCACACUUUAUACGACUAAUAAUUACCUUUUUCCAAAUAAAAUAUAACUAUUUCCUUACCUGUUUUAUGCUUAUCUAAUACACUUCCUUCCCCACAAACACAUACAAAACUUGAAAAUCGAAACGAGCAAAAACAUGGUCGGAAUUGGAAAUAGCACCAAUUCUACAAAUCUUAGUAAACUAGAAAAAGAAUUCGGACUUCGGGCUGGGCCGGAUGCCUUAUGAUUACGGGCACUGCGGGCUUUUUCUUGAUGUAGUAACAAUUCGUGCUCUCGGCCAAAGUUGAUAUAUCUUGGGCCGAUCUUAGACUAUUGUCGGAGUCAACGAUCUCUAGGUUACAAAAAUAGCUUGCUUUUCCGAACCCGGCUUCCACGUAAUGGCCCGAGCCCAUUUGGGUCGAUGUGUGUUGGUCGUUGGCCCGGGAAUUCACGACCUCGCCGCUGCACUCGACCAUCGUGGCCCAGUCCGUUAGAUGGGUGAAUAGCUCGGUGGGCCAGUAGCCCACUAAGGUACUAUCACCAAAGCCCAUCC
rnacentral:lncRNA from 1 species